AUCCGGUAGUGAAAUCAAGUACUUUUGGCCUCUGUCAACAUCAAGAUUAGCUGAUCUCUAGAGACCCCACACAGCCAAGGACACUUGUUGCUAUUUUAAGAGAGAAGAGGCUCUCUUCUUCUUGCAUGCCUCUUCUCUUUUUUGUUUAUCAAUUGCUGCGUAACAGAGUGCCCUAAAAAAACUCCUUAUACAGUCUGUAGUUUGCCAAGGCUCGGCUGGAUGGCUAUGACAUUUGAUCCUUCAUGAAACUGCAGUAAGAUGGCAGCAGGAGCUAGAGUCUUCUCAAAGCCAGACUAGGCUGGACAUCCAAGAUGGCUUCUUCCCUCAAGUGACUGGUGCCUGAGCUGGGAUGGCUGGAGCAGCUGGAGACUGGGCAGACAUCUCCCUUGCCACAUGGCUAGGUUGGGCUUCACAGCAUUGGCUUGCAGGAGGCAGGGUGUGUGAAAGAGGCAGUGGGAGUGAUCCACUCAUGGGAAGGGAUAUGUUAUCGCUGAGCCUUGUUUAGAAUUGCUUGUGCAUGCUGAUAAGAAAAGGAAGACCAACUUUUAGUUGGUUUUAGUAAACUUUUUAAAUUCUUUAUAGACAAUGCAUCCCUUUAAUCUCUGUACUUUUAAGUGGACCAUUCCCACUGCCCCCAGCCUUGGUACACCACUUCCUCACAGCAUGGCUGUUUCCAGAGAGUUGGACUUUUUGCCUCAUGACUAGCCUCCCCCAGAGCCUUCCAGGAAGAAAGGCAAAAUCUGUGAGCCUUCUUAUGACCUAGCCUCAGAAGCCACAGAGCAUUGCAUCCCCUGCACUCUGUGGGGGCAAAAGCAAGUUGGAGGACCAUCCUGGAUUCAUGGGGAGAAGACCAAACAAGUGUGAGUGCUGGAAAGGAGACUUCCCUGUGGGCCAGCUUUGGAGAUGAGUGACCACAUUCUCCAUUACCAUUUGCUCCACGUGGUUCAGAACCACAUGAUUAUUUAACCAAAGCUCGGGUUGACUACACUUCAACUAACUGGAACCUACUGUAACGGAUCCAGGAGGCCCACAGGUCUGAACAAACACAUUGUGGUCUUCCAACUGGUACCUGGUUUCUGCUCCUGGAUUUACCAAGUGACUCCUCCUGUGACUCUGGAAGCCUUGAAAAACUUGGCAUCAUUCCUUCCUCUGUAGAUUAACAAUAACUUUACCCAUCUUCUUUCCCACAACUAUGGAAAGGCUCUGAAAAAAAACAGAAAUCAUAACUUUGUACCUAAUUUGUGAUUCCUCGUGGAAGGAGGUAAAGUUCUCUGGGAAAAUUAGAGAUUGCACGGUCUUUCAAAUACUAAUAAUCAUAAUCUCAACAAUCUCUUUGCUAUAUUAAAAAACUUACAGGAAUUUAGAAUGCCUCAAACUGGAAACAAAUGUCCAUCAACAGGAAUGUAGAUUCAUACAAUGGAAUAUUCAAGCAUAAAAAGUAUGAACUACUAAUACAUAAAACAACAUGGACAAAUCUCAAAAACAUCAUGUUGAAUGAAAGAAGCCAGACUCAUAACAGUACUCAUUAUAUAAUUCCAUUCCUACGAAAGCCAAAUACAGAUCUUCAGGAAAAGUUCUCUACAUAUAACCAAUUUAUCUAUGUUAGUGGUACAUUGAGGAGGUGUCCAGAGACAAAGAGACAAGACAGCAAAUGAAUGGACAAGAUGCUGUGAGGGAGUAGGAUUCAGAAGAAUGUCCCAGAGCACAACACAGCCUGGAAUUCACAGAAAUACUGGGGAAAAGGCACAGUGGACUUCCCACUUUCCGUGGAUGGGGUCUCGACCCAUUUUAAGAGGCUAUUAAAGGAAAAAUUGACUGCAGGAGGCAGGUCAACUUGGAAACAUGGGAUAUAUUUUUUUAAAUUUUAGGCAUGGAGAUAUGGAAGGAUGCAUAGAGGCCUGGUAUAUAACUAAGAGCAGGGACUCUGGAGUCCGAGGGUCUGUGUUGGAAUCCCAACUUUGCCACUUAUAACCAUGUACUUUUGCGCAAGUUAUUAAAGCCUCUGAGACUCCAUUUCCUUCUCUGUAAAUAGGGAAAUAAUAAUACCUCAUAGGGUUGUCAAGAGGAGUAAAUGAAGCACAAUUGUAAAGUGGAUGGACAGGAGCUUAGUGUAUACAAAUUGCUGUACAAUAGCUUGUUAAAUAAUAUAAAUAAAUAUGCAUCAAAAUGUUAAGUGUUUUUUGAUGAAUAUAA
rnacentral:lncRNA from 1 species